GGUUGAAGUGUUUUUAUGAGAGCUAAUUAGUUGUUCCAACCAGCUCUAUGAGGCUCAGGGAGAUUUAGGAGAUUGCUGCAGGCCUUUACACUAGCAAGUGGUGGAGCUGCUCUUCAAGCCCAGGUUUCCCAGCUCCAAGGCUAAGUGUGUUCCAGGCGCCACCCUUGAUCUCUCGCAAUCUUAGCGUGCUCACCUUCCCAACGAGGCUCCGGUGUCGGUGGUAAGAAUGUUCAUCUCUUUCUAUCUUCAAGGUGGAAUGAGGAUUAAACCAGGUCCUUCAUGAAGAAGUGCAUCAUCGCUCAUUUCAUACACCUGGAAAGAGGGUGAAUCCUGACAGCCGAGUUCAUAGUGCAUGGCGUCUCCUUCUUUUCAUGGCUGCUUGGGAAACAGGUGAACUUAAGCAGGAUGGAGCAAAUCGUCACUCCCAGAAAUGUGGAAUUGGAAUGAAUGGAUACCAGUUAGUCAGUUUUAUGGAUCCUUUGAAGUGAGGACAGUCAAACUCUGGGGACGUGGCUCCCGUGUUUGGACAUAAAAACAUGAAGCAGAAAUUAGAGAAGAAAAGAGCAAGGACAAAGCAAGCCGAGGGAUGAGAAACCGCGCGGUGCUGGAGGAACAGAGCUAGGCAGGCAGCGAGAGCGGCCGCCUGGUUUCUUAACUGCUUUUUACUUGCCGUCUCCAGACACACAAGCAGCCCAGCCCCCACUUUAAUUCCUGCCCUGGAUCCAAUGAGACACUCUGGGAGUCUUUCCAAUAAAUUCCUGUUUUUACUUAAGUUAA
rnacentral:lncRNA from 1 species